UACGUAGGUGGCAAGCGUUGUCCGGAUUUACUGGGCGUAAAGAGCGCGCAGGCGGUCGUUCAAGUCGCGUGUGAAAGCCCCCGGCUCAACUGGGGAGGGUCACGCGAUACUGAUCGACUCGAAGGCAGGAGAGGGUAGUGGAAUUCCCGGUGUAGUGGUGAAAUGCGUAGACAUCGGGAGGAACACCAGUGGCGAAGGCGACUACCUGGCCUGUUCUUGACGCUGAGGCGCGAAAGCUAGGGGAGCAAACAGG
rnacentral:rRNA from 1 species